rnacentral:lncRNA from 1 species
AAAGUUUUCUUCUAUUUCUAGUUUGCUGACUUGCUAAGGAAAUUUCAGACACUUGUUGAAUUUCAUCAAAUGCUUUGAUGGAUUGGGCUUAAUUGAAGUAAGAGUGUCAGUUGAUCAAGUUCGUGAUUAAGAGUACAGACGAGACGAGCCAUUGGCAGAGACCAUGUGUCUACAACACAGGUAUCUGACAAAGACUUGUAAGAAAAGCUGAUAAUUCAACCAAAAUUGGCAGAAACAACAUGAAGAAACUUUCCAUGGCUGAAACUGGUGUGAUCUGAGUAACAAAAUUUGCACAAUCUCUACAUUCAUCUAAAGAAAAAGAUAGACAUUCAUGAGUUGAUUGUGACAUAAAUGAUCAAAUUAAACAUUAAUGGAUGAGAGAGGUGGGUACUCCUUAAAGAAGAAUGACAUGUCAGACGUCUAGAUGCCCCUCCUCCAGGGGACUGGGCCAAGUCCCUCUUCCUUCGGGUGCUGGAUGGCCCUGCAGCUGGCCUUCAGAAGAGGGGACUGAAGCAGAGCAGAAGUGGAGGGAAGAGACCUGAGGCACCUCUUUGCCGUGUGCUGAAGGCUGCGUCCGGUGGCAGGUCACUCUCUGACAGGGUGCAGGGGCGGGCCUCUGACCUCCAGGCUUUCUGCUGUGAGGCUGCCCCAGGGAUGAGGGGGAUCUGGGCCAGCAGACUCUCGAGGCACAGCUGUGCUUCGGUGGUAGGUUCAAAAGUCAACAGGAGGGCAUUCAGGAUGGCCAAGUUGAGACUAUUGCUGGAGCUCCAGAAGCCGAGAGAGGUCAGGGAGCUGGCGCUCUGGGCCAGGGGAUCUAGGCAGACAGGAGCUGAGGGGUGUGGGGAAGCGUCCUAUAGAAGGCCCCGUGUGCAGGGAAAACCCUCCACUCCCCAAGGGACAGCAAGAAUGAGGUCUUGCUUCAGCUUUGUAAUCCCAGAGGCAAGAAACAAAUGCAAAUUGAAGUAAAAAAAAAUCCAAAUAUGUUGUCCCAAAUUAUUAUUUUUAAAAUGCCAAUUACACAUCAGUGGAAGCAAUAUAAUUUUAAGGUCAUGUUUUCCAUAUUACUGUAAUAUCCAUUACUGCCUAACUAAGCAAUGCUAAUACAGAAAGUCAUUUUCUCAGUACACACUCAGUAAUGAAGUGACUCUUACAUGGGAUUGCCUAGCUGAUUUAUUACCGCAACGAGGUGAUGGGAAUACUUCCACUGGAAGGCUUUUACAAUUUAUCAAGUUUCGUUGGCCUAAGGAAGGUAAUUACUUUUCUAGGGUUGAUGUGAUAUGUGAACCAAUACAAGCACUGGGGAUAUGAGCAAUGACCAAUCUUUUACUCAAAAUUAAACU